GUCAGACCCGCCGCCAGCCGGAGGGAUGGAUCCGCAGAAGCACAGCGUUGGGUGUUUGUGCGGUGCAAUGUGAGGAUGCCCCAAGUGAUCAAAAUCUUCCAUACCUUUCUCUUCUGCUCCUGUGAGUACGUUGAGGAAUGAAAACCAGUGAGGCCGUGAUGGGGGUUGGCUUGGACAUGGUAUAUAAUUUUUUAAAAUGUUUAAAACUCUAUCGUCAACUUUAUCUUUUAAAAUUACUACCAGUAAGAAAUUACGUUGACAGGAGAGGGAGAAGAUGACAGAAUAGGAGGAUGCUGAGCUUACCUUGUCACCUGGACACCCUGAGGCAACAGUUACAUUCUCUGCAACAACUCUGAAAACAACCUGAAGACUGGCACAACAGAUCUUCCAUAGAGAAAAGAGCACAUUAAAAAGGGUAGGAGGAGUGGAGAUGCCAUUGGGAUCCAAACUCUCAGUACAAUGAACCAUAAACAGGAGGGACACCACAAGCAUGGAAGAGAAUCCACAUUAAGUACCCCUGGCUGUGGGGAUCCUCACUGGGAAAACACUGGCUUUGAAAAUCAGUGGGCCUUAAUUUUGGGAACUUUGGAAAUCAGCAGGACUUAACUCCAGGAGAGCUGGAGGUGAUAUGAAACUGAGACUGCACCCUUCAAGAGGCAGCAUCAUAAAUAACUUAGUGGGAGAUACAACAUAGAGCAGCAGUUUGAAAAAUAUGUGGCAUAUGUGUGAAGGAGAUUUAUCGACUAAUCUUAAGGCAUGUGCUGGAAGGGUGGGGGGUCUGCAUAUUUCUCUGGGAACAAAAGUGCUAGUGGGUGUCAUUUAUCUUGCAUCACCCCCAGCUUAGUCAGUUGCUUGCAGGAGCCAAUUCUAACACCCUCCAUCUAAGUUUUUGGCACUGCGUGAUCCACUCUGGCAUUCCCCUGCAGAACUGUCCCAACCCAAGCUAGCCACUGGGGCAGGCAUCGCUCCAAAGCAAUUCCUACCCCAGCUAGUCAUCCUGCCAAAGCAGGUAGCCCCAACUAAAAUCAGCAUCACUCCAAAGCAAGUCCUGUACUGAGGAGGUGAUGGGAUAACACCACACGGCAUGACUUCAGUUCCUGCAGCAGAGCCUUAGCAGGCUGUGUAAGGACAAAGUCCUACCCUGUGGGGUACAUGCAGCUGUCACAGAGACUAAGUGCAAACAGCUAGGCUGAAUGCCAGCCCACCCACCAGUGAGCUCAUGGUGGCUGCCUCCAGGCCUUACACUAUAACAAGGAGCAAACCAUGCCAAUGUGCCCAUAGAAUAUGAGGUGGGUUAGAGCAGCCAGCUGGGCUGAAGGCCAGACCCACCCACCACCAUGCCCAUGGCAACUGUGUCUAAGCCACAACAGUAGUGGGCACAGAGCCCACAUAGAGAACACCUUUGGAUGUCUGGUCCUAGUGACCCAGGGGAUUGCUCUACAAGACACCACAGGACCCCUUUGUCAACAGACCACUACUUUGAAGACCAGGAGACUUUGAUAACCUACCUAAUACAAAGAGAAAAACAGAGAGAAGUAGACAAAAUGAGGAGACAGAAAAUAGGUCCCAAAUGAAAGAACAAGGCAAAAAUCAGAGAAAAAGAGCUAAGCAUAACAGAUAUAAAAAAAAUAUACCUGAUAAACAGUUUGAAGUAACCAUUGUAAAAAUACUCACUGGACUAAAGAAAAGAGUAGAUACACUCAGAAUUUCAAAAAAGAGAUAGAUAAUAUAAAAAGAAACGAGUCAGAGGUAAAGAAUACAGUAAGUAGAAUGUAAAAUACAUCAAGAGAAUAAAAAAAAUCAGAUUAGAGGAUGAAAAAUAACAGAUUAGUGGUCUGGAAGAUAAGAUAAUGGAAAGCAACCAAGCUGAACACCAAAAACAAAAAAUAAUUAAAAAAGUGAGAAUGGGUUAAGGAACCACUGUGACAUCAUCAAGUAUAACAUUCACAUUAUAGGGACCCUUGAAGGAGAAAAGAGAAAGAAGGGAGCAGAAAAUUAUUUGAAGAAAUAAUAGCAGGAAACUUCCCUAAUCUUUAGAAGAAAUAAACAUCCAGGUCUAGGAAGCAGAGGGCUCCCGACAAUAUAAAUUCAAGGAGGUCCACACACCAAAUCAUAUAAUAAUGAAAAUCAUAAAAAUUAAAGACAGAAUCUUAAAAGCUGUAAGAGAAAGGGAAACAGUUAUAUAUAAGAGAAAUUCCAUAAGGCUACCAGGUAAUGUUUCAGCAGAAACUUUGUGGACCAGAAGGAAGUGGCAUGAUAUAUUGAAACUGCUGAAAGGAAAAACAAAAAACAACCACCCACAACCAAGAAUACUCAACCUAGCAAGAUUAUCAUUCAGAAUUGAAGGAGAGAUAAAUAGUUUCCCAGACAAAAGUUAAAGGAGUUUAUCAGUAUUAAGCCAGUUUACAAGAAAUGUUAAAGGGAAUUAAGUGGAAAGUAAAGGCGACAACUAGAAUUAAAUUAUGAAAGGAGAAAAUUUCACUGGUAAAAACAAACAUAAAGUUAAAGUAGAUUAAUCACUUAUAGAGCCAGUAUGAAGGUCAAGUCACAAAAGUAGCCAAAGCAAUUAUAUCUACCAAAGUUAGUCAAGGGAUACACAUAAUAAAAAGAUGCAAAAUAUGACAUCAUAUACCCAAAACAUGGAAAGGGGUAAAAAUAUAGACUCUUAGAUUGUAUGUGCACUUAAGAGAUCAUCAACUUAAUAUAGACCACUGUACACAUAAGAUGUUAUAUAUGAACCCAGUGGUAAUCACAAACAAAAACCUGCAAUUGAUAUUCAAAAAAUAAAGAGAAAGUAAUGCAAGCAUUUCACUAUGUAAAGACAUUCAACCACAAGGGAAGAGAGCAAGAGAAGAACAAAGAAACCAAGAAGAGCUACAAAAACAACCAGAAAACAUGAAAGAAAAAAGAAAAAAGCAACAAAUAAAUAUGGAUCAGUGAUUAUAUUAAACGUAAAUGGACUAAAUGCUCUAAUCAAAAGAUAAGGGUGACUGGAUAGAUGAAAAAACAAGACCCAUCUAUAUGCUUCCUGUAAGAGAUUCACUUUAACUUAAAGCACCUACAGACUGAAAUUGAAGGGAUGAAAAAAAAAUUACAUAUAAAUAAAUGUGGGGGAAAAAAGCCAGAGUAGUUAUCCUUAUAUCAGAAAAAAAUACACUUUAAAACAAAAGCACCAAAAGACAAAGGCAUUAUGUGAGGAUAAAGGGAGCAAUAAACAAUAGUGCAAUAGGGAGCAAUCCAACAAGAGAAUGUAAUAAUUAUAAACUUCUGUGCACUCAACAGUGGAGCACCUAAAUACAUAAAGCAAAUAUUAAUAGAUGUAAAGGGAGAUAUUGACAGUGGUACAAUAAUAGGAGACUUUAACAUCCCAUGUACAUCAACAAAUAGAUCAUUUUGACAGAAAAUCAACAAAGAAACAGACUUUGAGUGGCACAUUAGACCUGAUGGACCUAACCAAUAAAUACAGAAUAUUCCAUCUCCCCCCAAAUCAGAAUAUACAUUCUUUUUCAGUGUACAUGGACUAUUUUCCAGGAUAGAUCAUGGUAGGCCACAAGUCUCAAUAACUUUAAGAAGACUGAAAUCGUAUCAAGUAUGGUUUAUGACCACAAUGAUGUAAGACUAAAAAUCAAUUACAAGGAAAAAAAAAACAAAAUAGAAAACACAAAC